rnacentral:rRNA from 1 species
UGGGGAAUAUUGGACAAUGGGCGCAAGCCCGAUCCAGCCAUGCCGCGUGAGUGAUGAAGGCCUUAGGGUUGUAAAGCUCUUUCGCCGACGAAGAUAAUGACGGUAGUCGGAGAAGAAGCCCCGGCUAACUUCGUGCCAGCAGCCGCGGUAAUACGAAGGGGGCUAGCGUUGUUCGGAAUCACUGGGCGUAAAGCGCACGUAGGCGGAUUGUUAAGUCAGGGGUGAAAGCCUGGAGCUCAACUCCAGAACUGCCCUUGAUACUGGCAAUCUCGAGUCCGGAAGAGGUAAGUGGAACUGCGAGUGUAGAGGUGAAAUUCGUAGAUAUUCGCAAGAACACCAGUGGCGAAGGCGGCUUACUGGUCCAGUACUGACGCUGAGGUGCGAAAAGCGUGGGGAGCAAAACAGGAUUAGAUACCCUGGUAGUCCACGCCGUAAACGAUGGAGGCUAGCCGUUGGCGAGCAUGCUCGUCAGUGGCGCAGCUAACGCAUUAAGCCUCCCGCCUGGGGAGUACGGUCGCAAGAUUAAAACUUAAAGGAAUUGACGGGGUCAUAGCUGUUUCCU